AAUCAUAUAUAAAUACUAAAAAAUACAUGUUGCCGUCGGGGUUUGAACCCUUUCCCUAUGGGUUGGGUUGGUUGUUGCAAGCCAACUUGACUGUAGGCUUUGUGUUGUUAUAAUUGUACCAGUAAUUUAUUUAUAGGUUUCUUAUGUUUAAUGCUUUAUAAAAUUUCUUAACUUUACAAACCCUAGCUGUCUCACUCCCAUUUCAUUUCAGAUCUCAAACACCUCUCUGUUCCGUCCACUGCUUCCUCUUUGCCUUUGCUUCCUCUCUUUCUCUCUCUCUCUCUCUCCCUCCCUCUCCCUCUCCUUCCUCUCUUCCUCCAAAUCACUCUCUCUCCAGUCUUCUCCUGUCCUCCUCGCGGAUUCCUUCUUCCAAACCAUGAUUUUCCCUCGCCCUUUUCUAGAUCCGACAAAAAGAGGAAUUGAAAGAGCUUGCGACGAUCAUGGCUAUAUCGCUGCAACAAAGAUCUAUUGUGGACUUGACUAUGAAUUUGAAUGUGGGCACUGGGCACGCGCUAUUGAAGUCCGAUUAUGGUAUUUAGAAGAACCCAAUUGCUUUU